UACAGGAGGUCUCAAGCGUUUGUUCGGAUUCAUUGGGCGUAAAGGGUGCGUAGGUGGCGCGGUAAGUCGGGUGUGAAAUUUCGGAGCUUAACUCCGAAACUGCAUUCGAUACUGCCGUGCUUGAGGACUGGAGAGGAGACUGGAAUUUACGGUGUAGCAGUGAAAUGCGUAGAGAUCGUAAGGAAGACCAGUGGCGAAGGCGGGUCUCUGGACAGUUCCU
rnacentral:rRNA from 1 species